ACACGACUACAUUAGAUACCCGGUAGUCCUAGCCGUAAACGAUACUCGCUAGGUGUCGGCCACGGUGCGACCGUUGUCGGUGCCGUAGGGAAGCCGUGAAGCGAGCCACCUGGGAAGUACGGCCGCAAGGCUGAAACUUAAAGGAAUUGGCGGGGGAGCACACAACGGGUGGAGCUUGCGGUUUAAUUGGAUUCAACGCCGGAAAUCUUACCGGGACCGACAGCAACAUGAAGGCCAGGCUGAAGACUUUGCCGGAUUAGCUG
rnacentral:rRNA from 1 species